rnacentral:rRNA from 1 species
CCUACGGGUGGCAGCAGUGAGGAAUAUUGGUCAAUGGACGCGAGCCUGAACCAGCCAAGCAGCGUGAAGGAAGACUGCCCUACGGGUUGUAAACUUCUUUUAUAAAGGGAUAAAGUUAGGCACGUGUGCCUUGCUGUAUGUACUUUACGAAUAAGGAUCGGCUAACUCCGUGCCAGCAGCCGCGGUAAUACGGAGGAUCCAAGCGUUAUCCGGAUUUAUUGGGUUUAAAGGGAGCGUAGAUGGGUUGUUAAGUCAGAUGUGAAAGUUUGGGGCUUAACCGUAGAAUUGCAAUUGAUACUGGCAGCCUUGAGUACAGUUGAGGUAGGCGGAA